GCGGACGUAGUGCACGGUGCACUACUGCGGAGUGUCCGGGAUCAUGGAAUAAAUAUCCAAGCAGUUGGUCGGGGUUCGACUCCCCGCGUCCGCG